ACUCCUGCGGGAGGCAGCAGUGGGGAAUAUUGGACAAUGGGCGCAAGCCUGAUCCAGCCAUGCCGCGUGAGUGGUGAAGGCCCUAGGGUUGUAAAGCUCUUUCACCGGUGAAGAUAAUGACGGUAACCGGAGAAGAAGCCCCGGCUAACUUCGUGCCAGCAGCCGCGGUAAUACGAAGGGGGCUAGCGUUGUUCGGAUUUACUGGGCGUAAAGCGCACGUAGGCGGACUAUUAAGUCAGGGGUGAAAUCCCGGGGCUCAACCCCGGAACUGCCUUUGAUACUGGUAGUCUUGAGUUCGAGAGAGGUGAGUGGAAUUCCGAGUGUAGAGGUGAAAUUCGUAGAUAUUCGGAGGAACACCAGUGGCGAAGGCGGCUCACUGGCUCGAUACUGACGCUGAGGUGCGAAAGCGUGGGGAGCAAACAGGAUUAGAAACCCUAGUAGUCCCAUG
rnacentral:rRNA from 1 species